GACGAACGCUGGCGGCGUGCUUAACACAUGCAAGUCGAACGGAAAGGCCCUGCUUUUGUGGGGUGCUCGAGUGGCGAACGGGUGAGUAACACGUGAGUAACCUGCCCUUGACUUUGGGAUAACUUCAGGGAACUGGGGCUAAUACCGGAUAGGAGCUCCUGCUGCAUGGUGGGGGUUGGAAAGUUUCGGCGGUUGGGGAUGGACUCGCGGCUUAUCAGCUUGUUGGUGGGGUAGUGGCUUACCAAGGCUUUGACGGGUAGCCGGCCUGAGAGGGUGACCGGCCACAUUGGGACUGAGAUCCGGCCCAGACUCCUCCGGGAGGCAGCAGUGGGGAAUAUUGCACAAUGGGCGGAAGCCUGAUGCAGCAACGCCGCGUGCGGGAUGACGGCCUUCGGGUUGUAAACCGCUUUCGCCUGUGACGAAGCGCGAGUGACGGUAAUGGGUAAAGAAGCACCGGCUAACUACGU
rnacentral:rRNA from 1 species